rnacentral:rRNA from 1 species
GAUGAACGCUGGCGGCGUGCCUAACACAUGCAAGUCGAGCGACGCGCUUAAAUUAGAUUUCUUCGGAAUGACGAUUUUUGUGACUGAGCGGCGGACGGGUGAGUAACGCGUGGGUAACCUGCCUCAUACAGGGGGAUAACAGUUAGAAAUGACUGCUAAUACCGCAUAAGACCCCAGCUUCGCAUGAAGCGGUGGUAAAAACUCCGGUGGUAUGCGAUGGACCCGCGUCUGAUUAGCUAGGUGGUAAGGUAACGGGUUACCAAGGCGACGUUCAGUAGACGAGCAGAGAGGGAGGCCCGAGACAUUGGGACUGAGACACAGCCCGGACUCCUACGGGAUGCAGCAGAGGGUAAUAUUGCACAAUGGGGGAAAUCAUGAUGCAGCUACGCCGCGUGAAGGAUGAAGUAUGUAGGGAUGUACACUUCGAUAAGCAGGGAAGAAAGUGACGGUACCUAACGAAGAAGCCCCGGCUAACUACGUG